rfam:Oryza meridionalis cultivar OR44 (W2112) chromosome 12, whole genome shotgun sequence.
GAGCAAAGGGGCCAGAUGCAGUGGCGAUCUUUGCAUUGAAGGUUGGCGACAACGAACAAAGGCAGUUCUCCGUGCCGCUCAGAUUUUCUCUGUUUUGUGACGGCCUCGAACAAGCUGCUACAUC